rnacentral:rRNA from 1 species
GACGCUGGCGGCGUGCCUAAUACAUGCAAGUCGAGCGAACAGACGAGGAGCUUGCUCCUCUGACGUUAGCGGCGGACGGGUGAGUAACACGUGGAUAACCUACCUAUAAGACUGGGAUAACUUCGGGAAACCGGAGCUAAUACCGGAUAAUAUAUUGAACCGCAUGGUUCAAUAGUGAAAGACGGUUUUGCUGUCACUUAUAGAUGGAUCCGCGCCGCAUUAGCUAGUUGGUAAGGUAACRGCUUACCAAGGCAACGAUGCGUAGCCGACCUGAGAGGGUGAUCGGCCACACUGGAACUGAGACACGGUCCAGACUCCUACGGGAGGCAGCAGUAGGGAAUCUUCCGCAAUGGGCGAAAGCCUGACGGAGCAACGCCGCGUGAGUGAUGAAGGUCUUCGGAUCGUAAAACUCUGUUAUUAGGGAAGAACAAAUGUGUAAGUAACUAUGCACGUCUUGACGGUACCUAAUCAGAAAGCCACGGCUAACUACGUGCCAGCAGCCGCGGUAAUACGUAGGUGGCAAGCGUUAUCCGGAAUUAUUGGGCGUAAAGCGCGCGUAGGCGGUUUUUUAAGUYUGAUGUGAAAGCCCACGGCUCAACCGUGGAGGGUCAUUGGAAACUGGAAAACUUGAGUGCAGAAGAGGAAAGUGGAAUUCCAUGUGUAGCGGUGAAAUGSGCAGAGAUAUGGAGGAACACCAGUGGCGAAGGCGACUUUCUGGUCUGUAACUGACGCUGAUGUGCGAAAGCGUGGGGAUCAAACAGGAUUAGAUACCCUGGUAGUCCACGCCGUAAACGAUGAGUGSUAAGUGUUAGGGGGUUUCCGCCCCUUAGUGCUGCAGCUAACGCAUUAAGCACUCCGCCUGGGGAGUACGACCGCAAGGUUGAAACUCAAAGGAAUUGACGGGGACCCGCACAAGCGGUGGAGCAUGUGGUUUAAUUCGAAGCAACGCGAAGAACCUUACCAAAUCUUGACAUCCUCUGACCCCUCUAGAGAUAGAGUUUUCCCCUUCGGGGGACAGAGUGACAGGUGGUGCAUGGUUGUCGUCAGCUCGUGUCGUGAGAUGUUGGGUUAAGUCCCGCAACGAGCGCAACCCUUAAGCUUAGUUGCCAUCAUUAAGUUGGGCACUCUAAGUUGACUGCCGGUGACAAACCGGAGGAAGGUGGGGAUGACGUCAAAUCAUCAUGCCCCUUAUGAUUUGGGCUACACACGUGCUACAAUGGACAAUACAAAGGGYAGCGAAACCGCGAGGUCAAGCAAAUCCCAUAAAGUUGUUCUCAGUUCGGAUUGUAGUCUGCAACUCGACUAUAUGAAGCUGGAAUCGCUAGUAAUCGUAGAUCAGC